UACGAAGGGGGCUAGCGUUGCUCGGAAUCACUGGGCGUAAAGGGUGCGUAGGCGGGUCUUUAAGUCAGGGGUGAAAUCCUGGAGCUCAACUCCAGAACUGCCUUUGAUACUGAGGAUCUUGAGUUCGGGAGAGGUGAGUGGAACUGCGAGUGUAGAGGUGAAAUUCGUAGAUAUUCGGAAGAACACCAGUGGCGAAGGCGGCCCACUGGUCCGGUACUGACGCUGAUGUGCGAAAGCGUGGGGAGCAAACAGG
rnacentral:rRNA from 1 species